rnacentral:rRNA from 1 species
AUUUACCUACGGGGCGCAGCAGUGAGGAAUAUUGGUCAAUGGGCGAGAGCCUGAACCAGCCAAGUCGCGUGAAGGAUGACGGCCCUACGGGUUGUAAACUUCUCUUGUCAGGGAGCAAUUGGGUCCACGCGUGGGCUUAGCGAGAGUACCUGAAGAAAAAGCAUCGGCUAACUCCGUGCCAGCAGCCGCGGUAAUACGGAGGAUGCGAGCGUUAUCCGGAUUUAUUGGGUUUAAAGGGUGCGUAGGCGGAAUAUCAAGUCAGCGGUAAAAAUUCGGGGUU